rnacentral:tRNA from 1 species
GGGCAUAUAGCUCAGUGGUAGAGUAUGUGUGCUUAACAUGCACAAGGUCCUGGGUUCAAUCCCCAGUACCACCA